UAACACGUGGGUAACCUGCCUUAUAGUGGGGGAUAGCCUUUCGAAAGGAAGAUUAAUACCGCAUAAGAUUGUAGUAUCGCAUGAUAUAGCAAUUAAAGGAGCAAUUCGCUAUAAGAUGGACCCGCGUCGCAUUAGCUAGUUGGUGAGGUAAUGGCUCACCAAGGCGACGAUGCGUAGCCGACCUGAGAGGGUGAUCGGCCACAUUGGGACUGAGACACGGCCCAGACUCCUACGGGAGGCAGCAUG
rnacentral:rRNA from 1 species